UACGGAGGGGGCUAGCGUUGUUCGGAAUUACUGGGCGUAAAGCGCACGUAGGCGGCUUUGCAAGUUAGAGGUGAAAGCCCGGGGCUCAACUCCGGAAUUGCCUUUAAAACUGCAUCGCUAGAAUUGUGGAGAGGUAAGUGGAAUUCCGAGUGUAGAGGUGAAAUUCGUAGAUAUUCGGAAGAACACCAGUGGCGAAGGCGACUUACUGGACCACUUCUGACGCUGAGACACGAAAGCGUGGGUAGCAAACAGG
rnacentral:rRNA from 1 species